UACGGAGGGUGCAAGCGUUAUCCGGAUUCACUGGGUUUAAAGGGUGCGUAGGUGGGUCUGUAAGUCAGUGGUGAAAUCUCCAAGCUUAACUUGGAACUGCCGUUGAUACUAUAGAUCUUGAAUGCUGUGGAGGUGAGCGGAAUAUGUCAUGUAGCGGUGAAAUGCUUAGAUAUGACAUAGAACACCAAUAGCGAAGGCAGCUCGCUGGGACGUUACUGACACUGAGGCGCGAAAGCGUGGGAGCGAACAGGG
rnacentral:rRNA from 1 species